rnacentral:rRNA from 1 species
GAUGAACGCUGGCGGCGUGCCUAAUACAUGCAAGUCGAGCGAACGGACGAGAAGCUUGCUUCUCUGAUGUUAGCGGCGGACGGGUGAGUAACACGUGGAUAACCUACCUAUAAGACUGGGAUAACUUCGGGAAACCGGAGCUAAUACCGGAUGAUAUUUUGAACCGCACGGUUCAAAAGUGAAAGACGGUCUUGCUGUCACUUAUAGAUGGAUCCGCGCUGCAUUAGCUAGUUGGUAAGGUAAUGGCUUACCAAGGCAACGAUGCAUAGCCGACCUGAGAGGGUGAUCGGCCACACUGGAACUGAGACACGGUCCAGACUCCUACGGGAGGCAGCAGUAGGGAAUCUUCCGCAAUGGGCGAAAGCCUGACGGAGCAACGCCGCGUGAGUGAUGAAGGUCUUCGGAUCGUAAAACUCUGUUAUUAGGGAAGAACAUAUGUGUAAGUAACUGUGCACAUCUUGACGGUACCUAAUCAGAAAGCCACGGCUAACUACGUG